AUUGAACGCUGGCGGCAUGCUUUACACAUGCAAGUCGAACGGUAACAGGCCGCAAGGUGCUGACGAGUGGCGAACGGGUGAGUAAUGCAUCGGAACGUGCCCAGUCGUGGGGGAUAACUACUCGAAAGAGUAGCUAAUACCGCAUACGAUCUAUGGAUGAAAGCGGGGGACCGUAAGGCCUCGCGCGAUUGGAGCGGCCGAUGUCAGAUUAGGUAGUUGGUGGGGUAAAGGCUCACCAAGCCAAUGAUCUGUAGCUGGUCUGAGAGGACAACCAGCCACACUGGGACUGAGACACGGCCCAGACUCCUACGGGAGGCAGCAGUGGGGAAUUUUGGACAAUGGGCGCAAGCCUGAUCCAGCAAUGCCGCGUGCAGGAAGAAGGCCUUCGGGUUGUAAACUGCUUUUGUACGGAACGAAACGGCUCUGGUUAAUACCCGGGGCUAAUGACGGUACCGGAAGAAUAAGCACCGGCUAACUACGUG
rnacentral:rRNA from 1 species